CCCUUAGAUGUUCUGGGCAGCACGCGCGCUACAAUGGUCUUCGCAAACGGAUGCAUUCUCGAAGGAGAAUGCCAAUCUUGGAAUCUAUGCCUUGGUCGGGACAGUUGCUUGCAAUUUUUCGACUCGAACCAGGAAUUCCUUGUAAUCGUGAUUCAUCACAUCACGAUGAAUACGUCCCUGCCCUUUGUACACACCGCCCGUCGCUCCUACCGAUUGGAUGGUCCGGUGAAGCCUCGGGAUUGUGGUUCUUGCCGCUUUAUUGUGGCGUGACCGCGAGAACUUGUCUAAACCUUAUCAUCUAGAGGAAGGUGAAGUCGUAACA
rnacentral:rRNA from 1 species